rnacentral:rRNA from 1 species
AUUGAACGCUGGCGGCAGGCCUAACACAUGCAAGUCGAGCGGAUGAAGGGAGCUUGCUCCUGGAUUCAGCGGCGGACGGGUGAGUAAUGCCUAGGAAUCUGCCUGGUAGUGGGGGAUAACGUCCGGAAACGGGCGCUAAUACCGCAUACGUCCUGAGGGGGAAAGUGGGGGAUCUUCGGACCUCCCGCUAUCAGAUGAGCCUAGGUCGGAUUAGCUAGUUGGUGGGGUAAAGGCCUACCAAGGCGACGAUCCGUAACUGGUCUGAGAGGAUGAUCAGUCACACUGGAACUGAGACACGGUCCAGACUCCUACGGGAGGCAGCAGUGGGGAAUAUUGGACAAUGGGCGAAAGCCUGAUCCAGCCAUGCCGCGUGUGUGAAGAAGGUCUUCGGAUUGUAAAGCACUUUAAGUUGGGAGGAAGGGCAGUAAGUUAAUACCUUGCUGUUUUGACGUUACCAACAGAAUAAGCACCGGCUAACUUCGUG